rnacentral:rRNA from 1 species
GAUGAACGCUGGCGGCGUGCUUAACACAUGCAAGUCGAACGGAAAGGCCCAAGCUUGCUUGGGUACUCGAGUGGCGAACGGGUGAGUAACACGUGGGUGAUCUGCCCUGCACUUCGGGAUAAGCCUGGGAAACUGGGUCUAAUACCGGAUAGGACCACUUCUUGGAUGUUGUGGUGGAAAGUUUUUUCGGUGUGGGAUGAGCUCGCGGCCUAUCAGCUUGUUGGUGAGGUAAUGGCCUACCAAGGCGUCGACGGGUAGCCGGCCUGAGAGGGUGUACGGCCACAUUGGGACUGAGAUACGGCCCAGACUCCUACGGGAGGCAGCAGUGGGGAAUAUUGCACAAUGGGCGCAAGCCUGAUGCAGCGACGCCGCGUGGGGGAUGACGGCCUUCGGGUUGUAAACUCCUUUCGCUAGGGACGAAGCGUUUUGUGACGGUACCUGGAGAAGAAGCACCGGCUAACUACGUG